rnacentral:piRNA from 1 species
UUAGUCAAUGGAGUGUGUCUAUUAAAUG